UACGUAGGAUGCAAGCGUUGUCCGGAAUUAUUGGGCGUAAAGGGCUCGUAGGCGGUUUGUCGCGUCGGGAGUGAAAACUCAGGGCUUAACCCUGAGCCUGCUUCCGAUACGGGCAGACUAGAGGUAUGCAGGGGAGAAUGGAAUUCCUGGUGUAGCGGUGAAAUGCGCAGAUAUCAGGAGGAACACCGGUGGCGAAGGCGGUUCUCUGGGCAUUACCUGACGCUGAGGAGCGAAAGUGUGGGGAGCGAACAGG
rnacentral:rRNA from 1 species